rnacentral:pre_miRNA from 1 species
AGUGGUUCUAAACAGUUCAACAGUUCUCUAUCGACAUUGUGAAAUGUUUAGGACCACUUG